UUGGCGGACGGGUGAGAAAUACAUGGGAAUCUGCCCAGUCGUGGGGGAUAACGUAGGGAAACUUACGCUAAUACCGCAUGCGCCCUUCGGGGGAAAGCCGGGGACCUUCGGGCCUGGCGCGAUUGGAUGAGCCCAUGUCGGAUUAGCUAGUUGGCGGGGUAAUGGCCCACCAAGGCGACGAUCCGUAGCUGGUCUGAGAGGAUGAUUAGCCACACUGGAACUGAGACACGGUCCAGACUCCUACGGGAGGCAGCAGUGGGGAAUUUUGGACAAUGGGCGCAACCCUGAUCCAGCCAUGCCGCGUGAGUGAAGAAGGCCUUCGGGUUGUAAAGCUCUUUCGGCCGGGAAGAAAUCGUGGUCUCUAACAUAGGCCAUGGAUGACGGUACCGGACUAAGAAGCACCGGCUAACUACGUGCCAGCAGCCGCGGUAAU
rnacentral:rRNA from 1 species